rnacentral:rRNA from 1 species
AGAGUUUUUUCCUGGCUCAGGAUGAACGCUGGCGGCGUGCUUAACACAUGCAAGUCGAACGAAGCACUUUAUUUGAUUUCCUUCGGGACUGAUUAUUUUGUGACUGAGUGGCGGACGGGUGAGUAACGCGUGGGUAACCUGCCUUGUACAGGGGGAUAACAGUUGGAAACGGCUGCUAAUACCGCAUAAGCGCACAGCAUCGCAUGAUGCAGUGUGAAAAACUCCGGUGGUAUAAGAUGGACCCGCGUUGGAUUAGCUAGUUGGUGAGGUAACGGCCCACCAAGGCGACGAUCCAUAGCCGACCUGAGAGGGUGACCGGCCACAUUGGGACUGAGACACGGCCCAAACUCCUACGGGAGGCAGCAGUGGGGAAUAUUGCACAAUGGGCGAAAGCCUGAUGCAGCGACGCCGCGUGAGCGAAGAAGUAUUUCGGUAUGUAAAGCUCUAUCAGCAGGGAAGAUAAUGACGGUACCUGACUAAGAAGCACCGGCUAAAUACGUGCCAGCAGCCGCGGUAAUACGUAUGGUGCAAGCGUUAUCCGGAUUUACUGGGUGUAAAGGGUGCGUAGGUGGUGAGACAAGUCUGAAGUGAAAAUCCGGGGCUUAACCCCGGAACUGCUUUGGAAACUGCCUGACUAGAGUACAGGAGAGGUAAGUGGAAUUCCUAGUGUAGCGGUGAAAUGCGUAGAUAUUAGGAGGAACACCAGUGGCGAAGGCGACUUACUGGACUGCUACUGACACUGAGGCACGAAAGCGUGGGGAGCAAACAGGAUUAGAUACCCUGGUAGUCCACGCCGUAAAC